GACGAACGCUGGCGGCGUGCUUAACACAUGCAAGUCGAACGGAAAGGCCUGCUUUCCCUUGUGGAUUGCGGGUACUCGAGUGGCGAACGGGUGAGUAACACGUGAGUGAUCUGCCCCCAACUUGGGUAUAAGCCUGGGAAACUGGGUCUAAUUCCCGAUAGGACUGCAGGGUGGUGCCUGUGGUGGAAAACGAUUUUCUAGUGGUUGGGGAUGAGCUCGCGGCCUAUCAGCUUGUUGGUGGGGUAAUGGCCUACCAAGGCGGCGACGGGUAGCCGGCCUGAGAGGGUGGACGGCCACAUUGGGACUGAGAUACGGCCCAGACUCCUACGGGAGGCAGCAGUGGGGAAUAUUGCACAAUGGGCGGGAGCCUGAUGCAGCGACGCCGAGUGGGGGAUGACGGCCUUCGGGUUGUAAACUCCUUUCGACCGCGAGGAAGCCACCUGGUUGGAAGGGUGGUGACGGUAGUGGUAGAAGAAGCACCGGCUAACUACGUG
rnacentral:rRNA from 1 species